rnacentral:lncRNA from 1 species
GCUGAAAAUACCAUGAUUUAUAAAACAUCUCCAGAUAAUAAAAUUUCUCAUAAAUUUCCUAACAAUGUAUAUUCGUUACCUGGAUAUAAUUGCUGUGAAGUGUUAAGGACUGUACACAGCCGAAGAAGUGAAGAAAAUUACUUCAUUGUUAGGGUAUAUCCUUUUCAAAGCCCAAUAUUUACUAGUCCUUGUGAUUCAAGAAUAUUUGGGGCCUUCAAUGUUAAUCCACGUAAGGACUUUUUAAAAAAAGUAUCUAGCAUUAACACAUCAACAAGAGGAAUGUUAAUCAAGAAAACAGAAAGUACUUAUAUCUUCUUGUCAAUACUACAUGAUUUAUGACUAAUGGCUGAAUCUGAAAAUAAAUACAUCGUUGUGGAAGAUGAAGAAGGAGAAUUGUCAAUCAUCCAUAUCAAAUGGAUGUUUAGUGCAUCUGAUGGAUCAAACGUGGGCUAUUGGCCACGUGAAAACCAAUCAUCGAAAGCCAAAA